UUCCUUCUAUUCUUCUCUCUAUACGUUGGUGUUCUAACCAAUAAUCACCGAUACGAUAUUCUGUCCGAUCGAUUCGGGAACCAACUAACGAAUGCCAAAGUGUUGUCUAAAUAAGACUAUACUUUGUGAAUUUCGUUAAAGUUCUGAUCUCGUGACCAUCGUUUGGUUUGAUUGGGUUUAACACUAAUACGUAUUCCACUCUUUUAAACUAAAUGUUUAACUAUCAGAAAACUCCAAACUAUACACUUACAAUCAAACAAGAUGUUUAAUCAUCAGAAGAUUCAGAACUAUAAAGUAGAUGCUUAGUUAUCAGAAGGCAUAGAAUCAGGAGGCUUGUUUAAUCAAAGACUAUAUGCUAACAAGUUAUACUUUGCAGUGAUUAAGUCUUUGCUAAUCUUUAACUACUGGCAGUAUGUGGGGGUUUUGUGCACAUUACUACUAAUGAUUUAUCACUUUAGGUGGGCGAGCCUAAUUAGUGAUAUGUCCACAGUUAUGGAUCCGGUCGAGUGACAACUAAACCAGCUAAUUAUAAGAUAGAGGCAAAUGUGAAAACUCUUAAUGCUGUGAAUUAUAACAAAUGUGUUUUGUACAAAAAGAAUGAACUCACCGGUAUUUCCUGCUGACCAUGUUGGGGCAUCCGUCUGUCGCCUACGUCUUGUAUCGAGUCUAGAUUAGAGUUAGUCAGUUUAGAGCACGGAAUCCAAGAAACUGUAUUUGAAGGUGAUUUCGCUCGAAAUUACAAGAUGUCAUUUCGAGCGAAACCCCUCAACAUGUUGAUUCCGCCCGAAAUGUCAUACACAUGAUUUCGCUCGUAAUGUGAUUCCGCUUGUACGUGUUCGAGCAGAAUCAGGCUGUCUAUAUAUAGCUGUGUCAUUUGGAGCGAAAUCAUAGGUCUAAGUCGUGUCAUUGUCUUCCGGUGAGCCACGAAGUGCUGUCGAAGUGUUGUCAGGCUUGUAAUCGAAUCAUUGAUCAAUAAAAACAACAGAUUAA
rnacentral:lncRNA from 1 species